ACGAACGCUGGCGGCGUGCUUAACCCCUGCCAGUCGAACGGAAAGGCCCUGCUUUUGUGGGGUGCUCGAGUGGCGAACGGGUGAGUAACACGUGAGUAACCUGCCCUUGACUUUGGGAUAACUUCAGGAAACUGGGGCUAAUACCGGAUAGGAGCUCCUGCUGCAUGGUGGGGGUUGGAAAGUUUCGGCGGUUGGGGAUGGACUCGCGGCUUAUCAGCUUGUUGGUGGGGUAGUGGCUUACCAAGGCUUUGACGGGUAGCCGGCCUGAGAGGGUGACCAGCCACAUUGGGACUGAGAUACGGCCCAGACUCCUACGGGAGGCAGCAGUGGGGAAUAUUGCACAAUGGGCGGAAGCCUGAUGCAGCAACGCCGCGUGCGGGAUGACGGCCUUCGGGUUGUAAACCGCUUUCGCCUGUGACGAAGCGUGAGUGACGGUAAUGGGUAAAGAAGCACCGGCUAACUACGUG
rnacentral:rRNA from 1 species